rnacentral:misc_RNA from 1 species
CCGAGUGCGGGUCCUUUGGGCCCAACCUCCCAUCCGUGUCUAUUAUACCCUGUUGCUUCGGCGGGCCCGCCGCUUGUCGGCCGCCGGGGGGGCGCCUUUGCCCCCCGGGCCCGUGCCCGCCGGAGACCCCAACACGAACACUGUCUGAAAGCGUGCAGUCUGAGUUGAUUGAAUGCAAUCAGUUA